rnacentral:rRNA from 1 species
UACGUAGGGGGCAAGCGUUGUCCGGAAUCAUUGGGCGUAAAGAGCGUGUAGGCGGCCAGAUAAGUCCGCUGUGAAAACUCGAGGCUCAACUUCGAGCUGUCGGUGGAAACUAUUUGGCUAGAGUCCGGAAGAGGAGAGUGGAAUUCCUGGUGUAGCGGUGAAAUGCGUAGAUAUCCGGAGGAACACCGGUGGCGAAGGCGGCUCCUGGACCGACACUGACGCUGAGGCGCGAAAGCUAGGGGAGCAAACGGG